rnacentral:lncRNA from 1 species
CUUCCAAGGUACUCAUUUCAUAAUAUUUCCAAUAGUCACACUGACAAGUUACAUUUCCACAAAAAUACUCGUACAGCAGCAGUAUUCUUAAAUUCUCACAUCCAAAAUUAUCUUAAGCAGGGAAAUUAGGAAACUUAGCAACGAGGAUACAACACCGUGGUGAGGUUAAGUUCAGUCUCUAAAGUAACUCAGGAUGGAUUCGCAGAAGAGCCGAACUCGGGGCCCCUCCCAAAUUCCACAGUGAAAGAGCAACCAGUCCCGUGUGACCGGCGACUUCUACAAUGUAAGACCAAUCCAACUGGAAGCUGGAAGCUGCCAUAUGUCAUAGGUACGGAAUACAUGUGAAACGGCAAAGUAAACAUAUUUCUUAAAGGAGGGGCCGCUAUUUCCACCGCCCGCAGCACUAGAGGGGUCACGGGGCCCGCCGACGACACAUCUGCCAUCUCGUGACACACAGUGGCGAGCACUCUGGCACCUGCUACAAAGCCACCCGCUUGGGACCACAGUGCCCACGGUUGGUACGGGAGGCAAAAAUCCCUAACACCGUGUUUUUUGAAAACCACCGACAUCUCAAAGUGUGAAUUGUUGAAACUCAAAUUUCCCAUCCCCAAAGCAGCCCGUCCUGACGGUGCGUUAGAAAAACCUUUUCUGUGUCUGACAUACAGUAACAGGAUCUAAGGAAGGUGUACUCCCCACGGAAGGUGGGGACUUACGGCAGCUCUGCUUUACGAGGACUAUUAAAGGGGGUGGUGUGCCUACGAGGUCCUGGAAAUAUGGAGAUAAAAAUAAAUUGGCAUUAAAGCACUCAACUAGGCUUCUCUGGAAAGACUGACUAUACCUUCCAGUAAACAGAAGAUUGCUUGAUAAAAGAUUUCCCCCCCUACGUGAACUAUACUCUAUACGAAUAACCUUCCUAGUUAAACCUAAGAUUCACAAAUUUCUAAUUGAUUUAUUCUACUUGACACUAACUGGUACGUCCAAUGGAUGCAUCUGCAGGUACAAAAGAGUAUCACUUUGUUUUUGAUGGUCCCUUACUCUCAAGCUCAAAGAACUUUAUGGACACCGGCCCUAAUGUCUUAGGUAGGUCAAGACGACGUGAGGGGACACAGAGUAACUGCUCACCAUGAACACCAGCCCUGCCACACGCCUCCCCAUCUCUCUCUGAGGAAUACGAUCCGAUGCAGGUGUAAGAAAAUGGAAGCAAAGGCCACUGAUUUCUCUGAAGUCACGAUGCUUUUCACAUCUACAGAAUUUAAUGUUACGACAGUUGUUAACCCUGAAACCACGUAGUGGAGGGUGCUCAUUUACAACUGCUGGAAGUCAGCACUGCCUGCCGCCUGUCCGCUCUGGCCUGGGUACACACAGUGCCCAGAACCCAAUCCCAAACCCACCCGUGGGAGGCAGGACACCUCUGGACCAGCAGCCCCUGCACCGGAGCAGACACGGUGGUCUAGGCGGUUCUGAAACUGAACAAAGGAACCGACCCUACAGAACACCCUUUUUUAAAUGAGAGGACCAGAAAUAUUCCUCCUGGAAAUAUUUAAUACCAUUUAAAAGUGACACAGGAAACACUGGUUUUUAGUAUUUAUGCUAUUCUAGGCACAUUGCGACUUGGCAAGAUUUCCUAAAGUGAGUCUUGCAUUAUAAAAAUAUUGAUGUUAAAUACAUGUGCUUAAAGUGGGAAUCCAAAGUAGACCCAAACCUCACUAAAAUGAAAGUUUAUUGCUAUGCCCAGAAGAAAUGCUGUAUUACGUCUAUCCUAAAAGGCAAGUAUUACAAGAUAUUCUACUCGUAAAUAAUAGCGAUCUGGGGAGAGACAGGAAGGGACACUGAGGGUGCACGCCAUUCAAGAGGAGGGACUGCCAGGGCCUUCACUGCCUUUAUAAAGUGGUCUUCACAAGUCUCUGUAACACUGUGCUGUUCUAAACCUCGCUUCACCUGGACUCCUGGGGGAGACACCUGUACGGCCUCCAUGCAGUGACAAGUGGACAAACACAGUCUACUCCAUGCAGAAGAGCACAUCAAAAGUCAACCACACAGGUACUGUGGCCACUCAGACACGCAGUACUCUGGGAGAUCCAAGAGUUCUUUGGGGCCGUGGCAACCGUGUGUGGUGUGACCUCAAUGCUCCCCUUCAGCGCCACCACCUGAGGUGUCACCAGUCUGGAACACUCUACUGAGCACUACAUCUCACACCAUCAUUCUCUCUCACACACACACACACACACGCGCACAUACACGCACACACCCUGAACAUCCAAAAACCUCUGCUGGGCCUUAUCAUACAAAACCCCUUAGUUUACAGACAGACCCUGAGGCUUAGAGAAAUGUAACGUCUUGGCCAAGUUAUCUACCGAGUGAGUGCCGACCUGGCAGCCCAAGGGUCCUCCCUGACCCUCUUCUUACUAUGUCACUGUGACAUAAAGCUGGAAAAGACAUUUUUAAAAAAGAAAAAACUGAGGAUACUUAAU